AAAUGAUAAUAUGUACUAAAUUAUAGGAUUUUAUGUUGAAGAAUACAUCAGUAGAGUGAUGUGAAAACCAUUAAGCAUAUAAAUUCUUUUGUACAACUUCUAGUUAUGAAUCUAUUAUCUUUAGGUAGAUUUUACUUUUUCUGUUCUGUUUUUAUUGUUGGGUUUUGAGCAAUCUAACACUUCCUAAGUGUGCAUGCAAACCUAAUAAACCUUAGAUCUAUGUUUGUCUAAAUACAUGCAAAAUAAUAAUUUUCCAAGGUUCAUAACCUAUCUAACAUGGCAUGGGGUACUCUUAAACAUAAAAGAAUUAGAUGAGAUUACAUACCUUUUGAUGAUGAGUUUGAUUCCUAAGGAGUUUGAGGGCCAAGCACCAAUAGUGUGAAUGCCUCAAAUGGAAUCACAAAUCACCACAAACUCUUGGAAAACUUUGAGAGAGAGUAUACACACUAUAGAAAUCGGCCACACACAAACACACACACACACACACUAGUGUCACUAGUGGCUAUUUCAUGCAACAUAAGCAUGCUUAUAUAGUGUACAUGAUUAGGGUGAAACCCUAAUAACCCAUGACCUUUCCUUUUCCAAGGAUCCAUGGGUUAAAAGCUCCAUGGAUCAUCCAUGGACUUCCAUACAAGCCUAGCCCAUUAACAAAUGAGUGUUAGCCCACACCAUAUAAAACCAAUAGCCCACAAUCUAAUUAGUCUUCCUUUUAAUCUCUAAAUUAAUUCAUAAUUAAUUUAAGACUAAGACUAAUUAAAUAACAUGACUUCAUAUUAAUAUAUUAUAACUUAUAAUAUAUUAAUAAACAUAUGUGUAUAACUCUCAUAAAAUUAUCCAUAAAUAGUUUGGAUGAAAUGCAACCCAAAUGGACCAUGUCGGGUCAGGUCAAGUAUAUACCAAAUAAGUUAUGGACUUAGACACCUUAUCCAACAGACUCCCACUUGGAUAAGUCUAAUAACUAUAUUUGCGUAUGUUACUUCAGGAACCAACCAGCAAUCGUAGCUCUCGAAAACUCUGUUGAACUAUGAAGCGCCAUUUUAGAUAAGUGAUCAUAUAAUCCUCUGUUCUCAUGAUAUCAGCCGGACAAAUACAUGGAACAACGUCGUACUUAUUGUCCAGCAGUUUGUUUCCCGAUUUUCGAUUUGUUUGACAAAGAACUUAAUCGAACACAUCAAUUUAGUUCUGACCGGCCGGUACAUAGGUCACAACAAAAUCAUCGAGGGGCCCAGAUAUCGCUUCUAUUUCUAGAAGGAACAGAUAAACUUCGACUCAUAUGCUUGUUCUACUACUUGUUGAAUUGUACACAAAGGCACGUUUUAUAACAUCAAGUUACUGAUGCGUUUACGUGCAAUCAAUGCACAACCAACUCAUAGGUAACAACUCAUAUCUCUAGGUUUGAAGAUUUAUAUGAUAUUACCGUCUCACGAUCACUCGAGAUAAAUUCCAUGAAGUGAUACAAGUGAGCGUGGGUUUAUUCCAAUACUCAUAACUUAUGAGCACUCAUGAAUGUUGUAGCAACCAUUGCUAUGACUAAACCCAUUUAGCCAUCUACAAACUCGAUUCAUGACAGUCUUGAUUCAUACCUACUUCCAACAUAUGAACGACUGUGGAGUGUUUAAAUAACUUAGUCAUUCGGAAAGAAUAACCUAGCUAUUUUGGAAGUCAAAACAUGCAAAGUGAAACACAAUAAUAAUCGAAUCCAAUAUGGUCUCAGAACCCUUUUGAAUAUAAAUAGAACCACCUUUUAUUUAUCACCAUAUUGAUUACACAUUAUUCAUUGUAUAAUGUUUCAAACAAUCAACUUAAGACUUGAAUAAAAACAACAGUCGUCCCAUGCUCCUAGCAUGUACACUUUGUUUUUCUAAACAAUAGUUAUGCCAUACUCCAAGUAUGCACACUAUGUUUGUCUAUGAUCCUUACAUUGUGAUGUAGAUCAAUUGAACAUGAUUCCAAUGAUACUCAUUUCACAAUCCCAAAUCCUUAUUGUAAAUGUGAGAAUCCCCGAUUCCUAUCAUUUACCAAAAAAACUGUUAGAUUUUAAACUUUUAUGCAAUGUUCCUCUUGUAAUGAUUAUGCACAAAGUCACCAAAACCUUGUCACCAGUCAUUACAGAGUAUUCCAAAGAAGGUCAACUUCUAUGGAACGGAAGUCUCAUAUUCAAAGUACAUUGCUUUGAACAUCCUUCUUGCAUUAAGGUUUUCUAAUCUUACAUAGAUUGAAUAACUUCCACCUAUGGAGACAUUUCCAUAGUCCCAUUUUGACUAUCACUUCCGAACAAGAGUUACUUCUUUUCAGAAUAUGUCAAUAUGGUCCUUUCCGACAACUUACAUCAUACUUCCAACUUUCCCUGAGCAACCAAUCUUUGGCGAACCUCAGAUUGUCCUCGACAAUUGCUUAAUCACUUUAGUCAUAUCCAGUUCUAGACUUUUCCCUUCUCAAUGCCUUAAGCAUUUGGAAAAUUUAGAAAAGAUGAAUAUUAUAGCACAUGCAAUCGAUCCUAUAUCCGAAGCAUAUGGGACACGAUUCAUGAUGUUUGACAUAAAGACAUGAUACUAGACCAGUCUUUUGCUACAAUAUUUUUUAUUUGCCAUGUUUUCAAAAUUUAACUAUGAAGAGGGAUGCCGUAAUCAUAAUCGAAUUUUGAAAACGCAAUAUAUAUAGAAUUUCUUCAAGUUGAACCAUUCCAACAUAAAAUUCAUAUAUAUAUUCUUGACUAAAGAUGAUUAAAAUCUCAAUCUAAGCUUUAGAAUUGAAAUGAAGUAUAAUUUCCUCUCCCUUAAUUAUAGCAAAACAACUUUUCAACCCCUGCAACUUCACGAAUUGAAACUUUGUUUUCUAUAAUUAACAUUGCUAACUUGCAACACUAAACGUAAUAAUCAUGCUCCCACUAACAUGAUGAUUAUCAGCAUAACACUUAUGCUCCCACUAGCUCUGACAUAUUUCCAGAAAUCUGCUGGACUUCUGAAAUUUAGAUUCAUACACCCUUUCUUAGAUAGCUCACAUGUGUGUCUAAACAAUUUUCAGAACUAUGAAAAGGGAUGCCGUAAUCAUAGUCUCAAUUGCUUAGGCAUUUGCCAUUUCUCACAAGUCCAUGUUAGUGUGCCGGUUAACCACACGCGCUCCACUAACGACUUUUGAAAAUGCAAAUAACACAAUUGAUAUCUACGUAAAAUCUACUUAGUGAAAGCGUUUCCUCACCAUCAUUUUCAUGAAUCGGAGAGAAACCUUAUGACACUUAGAUUUUAUAGUGUAUGAGUUCCUAUCCAUGUGAAUUUGUCAAAACCAUAAUCACAAGAUAAGGUUAGUGACAAAUUCAGCCUUACAUGGAUUAAACUUGUUCAAUCUUAGUUUCUUGUCACCUUGGUAGCACAAGGCCCACCAAUGCUUCCAAGUUGAACUCUGAUAACUCACAUGCAAAUUCAACUUAUUUGAAGUAGGUACAGAAAUAAGAAUUAUGUCAACACGAUAGGUUGCAAACCUUAAGUCGUGUGCUAGUGAUAAAUUACAGGUUUUACUCUUGAUUAAAUCUUGAAACUCUUUCAGGAUCUUUAAGGCUCCCACUGUCCCCUUGACAUAUAAGUUUCCCCAGUCAAGAACCAUUCCUUGACAAAACAAAUAUUCAAGGGAUAGUGCGGAUUCUUAUCAAGACUAACACUUCACACAAUUGGUCUUAGUUGGUCUUUGUCUCAUCCAAGACAUCACAACUUACCAAUCUCAAAUGUACAAGAGUAGAAAACAUUUUACUCUUACAUUUGACUAGUGUUAAUAAAUCUUCCUUUAUGUCACUCAAAGUUACAAUCUUGGAGUAUGACUCUAAGAAUUGUUUUGGAACGAAGUAUGACUCAUCUUCUUGAUUUUAACCAAUCCAACAAUUCAUGACCUCUCUUCUUAGCCAUAACAAUGCACUAAGACGUCCUUAGAGUAUGAAUUUGUGAUAUGGUUUCAUAAUCAUUAAGAUGAUCAUGAAAUACGAUACUAAAGUACUCUCCCAUCCUUUCAGAUUUGAGAAACUUUUAUCUUUCUGCCUAAUUUGAUUCUUCUCAUUUGUUUUGUCAUACAUUGUAACCUUUCCAAUGUUACAGAAUUAUACUUAACCUCAUAAGUAUAAUCAUAUUUACUAAUCUUUAGUAAAUCAUGACAAAUCAAUCUUUGUGGUGGACCUUGACCAGCGCACACCCAGUGUACCUAAUUCCUUAGUCCUUCAAUUGACUCACAUAUACAUGUGAUCAAAGAAUUAGUCUUAAUUUUCAAAGAUGAAAAUUCUCAUUCAUCAUACAAUACAACUUGUAUGAUUCCAAGUUUCUGUCCAAUUGAAACUUGGGUGAUGAAAAACUUUCUUCAUUUGGUAAAUUCAGACACUACCACAAAUGAAAGAAUCAAAUCCACUUUCCAAUAUUGCUAUUACUGGAAACAUAUAAGCAACAAUUUUCCACAGAUGCCAUUGUAAGGAUAUUUUUAAAAUAAAUAAAAUUAAAACCCUUUUUUUUUUUUUUUUUAAAACUUUGCGGAAAAACUUAUCCUUACAAUCCACAUGAAAACCUUGUUGUUAUCUAUUCAUAAGCAAUAUAUUAUAACUCUUAAGCAACAGCUCAAAAUUCUGAUUACCGAACCAUGCGAUCGAAACCCACCUUCGCAAUCAGAAUCAACAUAUACUUACUUUAAGCUUCCUAUCUUUUCUUUGAUUCUUAAAAACAUCAGCAUGUGACCCAUUCACAUUAUGUAAUAAGAAUCUCCAAAUAGGAACUUAAUAGAGUUAGACAGUGGACUUUACCCGAAGUAGAGUCAAACCUCUUGACUUGAUCAACCUUAUGACCUUUCAGGUGAAUAGGGCAGCUUCGCAACCAAUGCCCCUUCCUUUGGCAACAAAACACAUGGACCCUUUGGUAAUGGCACAUGAGACUAUCUCAGACUUAGCCUUUCUCUUUACCAUUUGGUCAACCGAGUUGACUAUGGCCGAUCCCUUUCCAUUGGGAAGAGAAAUCCUUUUCUAGAUAUCCAAUGCUACCAUUGUCAAUGUCCAUUUAAGACUUGGGAAGUUGUUCUUUUAAUCAAAUUUGCUUUACUGGUGUUCCAAAUCAUUGCUGAUUCCACAACACCAAGCAAAUAGAUAACAUCAUUAAGGGUCAUGUCAUAGUCUGUCUCAUAGUAGUCCCAAAGAGACUCACUAUGUUACUAAGAAAGUGAUUGAACAUCCAACUUUCACGAGACUUUGACACCCAACUCUCCCGGCUUGUCAAUAUGUGACUUUAUCUCCAAGAUGUGAGCACACAUAGACUAUGCUUGCCAAUAGGGAUUGAGUGACUUUAAACUUUUCAAGAACUUGUGGGUGAGGGAGAAUAAUUGGAGGAGGUGGAGGAAGUGAAGCAUGAUGUUGAGGGACACCAUCUUCAAGAGAUUUGGGAAGAUCAUAGUUGUCUGAACCAGACAUCUAUAAUGGGAGAAAAUCAAGUUAGUUGAUUCAAAGUCCUUAAUAUAACACCCAAUAUGAAAUAUUAAGGCUAGGACCCAACACAAUAUUUUAUAAUUUGGAAGAGGGAUGCCGUAAUCCAAGCUAUAAAAUAUUUGAAGGUAGGCGAAUGACGAUUCACCAAUUUCCACCAUGAAAAACGAAAUAAUUUAUUAGGUUUUAAUUGGAUUUGAAAUUCCUAGAUCUUUUGAGAUUCAUUGAACUUUUCAAUGGCAUGUUUCAAUCUCGAGUGUGCCCUCUCAAAUUUUGUGACUGGGAUGCCGAGGAUCACAAAACAAGGUGUGAAUAACCAUACCAAUUCACUUGGUACCCUUAAUAUUAUCACCUAAUCAAUGUGCCGGUUAACCACACACGCUCCAUUGAUCUAUGACAAACAUUAAGUCACCCUUCGUGAUCCUUACUAGUCCAAGUUAGUGUGCCGGUUAACCACACACGCUCCACCAACGACUUGGUAAGGUACAAAGUGUGAAUUCCAUGGGCUAGCACCAAAUUCACAUUUUUCCUAAAGUAACUAAGAUUGGGAAUUAAAUAAAAAAUUUUUAGUUACUUUAUAAUAAUCAUUAUACUUUUAAUGAGAAUUUAAAGUCAUUGUCCUACCCGUUCGGCUAACGACCCUCCACCGAUCAAGCAAGCGGUGGGUGAGAGUGGACACCCAUUAAGUUGCCAUUUUAUAGGCAACAACCUUAUACCCACCUUAUAGACCGACUUCGUGAAUGAAGCCUACUAACGGUAAAACGACUUGUUCUUAUACAUAUAUAUAAUAAUUAACCAUUAAUCUUAUAAAUAGUAUAAGUGUUGAAUUUUAACUUUUAAAAUUCUAAGUGUUGGAAUUAAAGUUUAUUAAAGUGUGUGAAACUUUUCCAAAUUCCAAAACUUGAGGGCAAGUUUUGAAACUAUUCAAAACUAAUUAAUUCCAUGAUUUAUGUGUUUAAAGUAGUUUUAAUCCAAAAACUCUUCAAGUUCCAUAACUUGAGGACAAGUUAUGGAAGACUUUAAACUAAUAAAAGAAUUACUUUUCUUUAUUUUAUAACUUAUGGAAUUAAUUAAGGUUACACUUUAUUUAUAUAUUUAUUAAUGAAGUGACUCUUGAACCUCCAUAACUUAAGGACAAGACUCUUCAUCUUUUGUAACCAUCCAAGACUUUUCAUUUCAUAACUUAUGAAUUAAAGGUUCAUAAAAAUGAAGACUCUUCAUUUUUCAUGUAACUUAUGUGUUUAAAUGUGUGUGUUAAAGAAAGUGACCUUUGGAUAUCCAUAACUUGAGGACAAAUUAUGGACUCCAUUAAAACACAUAAAUGAUCAAGAAUUAAUUCUAAACAAUUCAGCAAAUAAUUCCUAUCAUCUUCUAAAUUCAUAAGAACAUGAACAUGAUCAUCAAAAUUUCAAGAACUAUAUGAACACAUAAAAUCAUGGAAUUUUGAUAUAUGCUAUUGUAAAUGGAUUAGAAACCCCAUUACACAAACUAAAAUAAGUUUUAAAACACCAAAACAAUUUAGGGUAAUGUUUCUAGUCCAUUUCCAGCAGCAAAAGUCGAAAAUCUGCAUUCUGAACCUUCAACUCGCCGAGUGCACGAACCUACUCAGCGAGUAGGAUGAAUGUUGCCUUGGACUCAGCGAGUCCCCCCAUGGACUCGACGAGUCCAUCAUGCAGACAACAAAAAUUUUGACUUUUUUCACUAUUUUGCAUCAAGUAUCAAACAAGCAAGCCUAGGCUCUGAUACCACUGUUGGGUUUUGAGCAAUCUAACACUUCCUAAGUGUGCAUGCAACCCUAAUAAACCUUGGAUCUAUGUUUGUCUAAAUACAUGCAAAAUAAUAAUUUUCCAAGGUUCAUAACCUAUCUAACAUGGCAUGGGGUACUUUUAAACAUAAAAGAAUUAGAUGAGAUUACAUACCUUUUGAUGAUGAGUUUGAUUCCUAAGGAGUUUGAGGGCCAAGCACCAAUAGUGUGAAUGCCUCAAAUGGAAUCACAAAUCACCACAAAC
rnacentral:lncRNA from 1 species